rnacentral:rRNA from 1 species
AUGGCUCUUGAGAGUGCCAAAGCCGCUAAGGCCGAAGCCGACAAGGCCCUCCAGGAAAUCGAGGCGUUGAAGAAAAUAGCAGCGGGUAAGGCAUUUUUCAUGCAAAGUAAGCAUGUGAGUGUUAAUUACCUGUUGCUUACCCGAAUUCGGAGCUCUCCAGGAGCGUUCGCAGAUCUUCCUCGCAGCGUGUCCGAUGCUGCCGCGUUCUACCGGGCCGAGGAGGGGAGCUCGACGGAGAAGGUCUUCUGGUCUCAGUAUGCUGAGGCCGGACAUCCGAUGCCCCUUAACGACCAGCUGAAGCAGCUGGUCGAGCUCCAUAAGGCGGCCGAACAGGCCAUGAAGGGCCUCAUAGUUCGGCUGUGGCCUAAGGAGGCCAUGCCUGGGAGCUACUUCGGCCUGGUGUGGCGGCUGGUGGAUGCGUGCCCGUGGGUUGAAGUCAUCAAGCACUCCGCCUGUAUUGAAGAUGCCCGUCGGGCCCUUGCCCGCGCAAAGGUGCACUGGGGCAAGAUGGAUGCCCAAAAGCUCGUGACGGCCCGCCACUAG